AGUAGCUCGUCCUAACGUAAUAAACGUAAUAAUUAUGACUUGAUUAAUUGUUGCACACACGUUGUCCGGACAGUCAAUAAGCCCUGCAAAAGGGGCAUAAAAACGCCUGAGCGGUACGACGCAGUACGGUAGUCGGAAAAAAUUCAGUGUUGUGGGAGGAGGGGGGCACUAAUAAUUUUCAUUACAAACUACUAUACUUUUUGAACGAUGAAAUAUUUCGAAA